GUGAAUCAUCGAAUCUUUGAACGCACAUUGCGCCCCUUGGUAUUCCGAGGGGCAUGCCUGUUCGAGCGUCAUUUCAACCCUCAAGCUCUGCUUGGUCUUGGGCCUGGCCGUGAUGGCCGGUCUUAAAAUCAGUGGCGGUGCCGUCGCAGGCUCCAAGCGUAGUACAUCUCUCGCUCUGGAAACUUGGCGGUGCCUGCCAGACAACCCCUAAUUGUCUCUUUCGGUUGACCUCGGAUCAGGUAGGGAUACCCGCUGAACUUAAGCAUAUCAAUAAGCGGAGGA
rnacentral:misc_RNA from 1 species